rnacentral:tRNA from 1 species
GCGGCCAUGGUGUAAUGUUAGCACUAGAGGUUGUGGUCCUCUCGGCGAGGGUUCAAUUCCCUCUGGUCGCC